rnacentral:miRNA from 1 species
CAAUAGAUCACUGUCUCCUUU